rnacentral:rRNA from 1 species
CCCUUAGAUGUUCUGGGCUGCACGCGUGCUACACUGAUAUUGCCAAUAUGUCAUUCUUAUCCGAAAUGGAUUGGGUAAUCAAGUAAUGAAAUUUCAUGCUUGGAAUCGGUAAUUGCAAUUUUAUCGUGAACGAGGAAUUCCUAGUAAGCACUAGUCAUCAGCUAAUGUUGAUUAUGUCCCUGCCCUUUGUACACACCGCCCGUCGCUACUACUGAUUGGGUGUUCAAGUGAGAUGCUUAGACCCUUGUUGCAUGGUUCAUUAUUGUUCUCCGAAAGGAAAAAGUUUCAAGCUUGAGUGUCUAGAGGAAGUAAAAGUCGUAACA